CCUACGGGGGGCUGCAGUCGAGAAUCAUUCACAAUGGGGGAAACCCUGAUGGUGCGACGCCGCGUGGGGGAAUGAAGGUCUUCGGAUUGUAAACCCCUGUCAUGUGGGAGCAAAUUAAAAAGAUAGUACCACAAGAGGAAGAGACGGCUAACUCUGUGCCAGCAGCCGCGGUAAUACAGAGGUCUCAAGCGUUGUUCGGAAUCACUGGGCGUAAAGGGUGCGUAGGCUGUUACGUAAGUCGUGUGUGAAAGGCGCGGGCUCAACCCGCGGACGGCACAUGAUACUACGAGACUAGAGUAAUGGAGGGGAAAGCGGAAUUCUCGGUGUAGCAGUGAAAUGCGUAGAUAUCGGGAGGAACACUCGUGGCGAAGGCGGGUUCCUGGACAUUAACUGACGCUGAGGCACGAAGGCCAGGGGAGCGAAAGGGAUUAGAUACCCCGGUAGUC
rnacentral:rRNA from 1 species